rnacentral:rRNA from 1 species
GUCUGUGGCCAUCCCUCCCUAACCGCGCCUGAUGCCCUCUGAUCUUGGAAGCUAAGCGGGCCGGGCCUGGUUAGUACUUGGGCAGGAGAAGGAAGAGCGGCCAGAGGUACUGGCU